rnacentral:tRNA from 1 species
GUGGGGUUAUGGCUCAGUGGCAGAGUGCUUGCCUAGCAAGUGUGAGGCACUGGGUUUGACUCUCAGCACCACA